rnacentral:rRNA from 1 species
UACGGAGGGUGCAAGCGUUGUCCGGAAUCACUGGGCGUAAAGGGCGCGUAGGCGGCUCAUGAAGGCUGUGGUGAAAGUCCGGGGCUCAACCUCGGAUCGGCCGUGGCGACUCGUGGGCUGGAGCACUGUAGAGGCUCAUGGAAUUCCGGGUGUAGCGGUGGAAUGCGUAGAGAUCCGGAAGAACACCGGUGGCGAAGGCGGCCUGCUGGGCAGUAGCUGACACUGAGGCGCGACAGCGUGGGGAGCAAACAGG